AUUGAACGCUGGCGGCAUGCUUUACACAUGCAAGUCGAACGGUAACAGGCCGCAAGGUGCUGACGAGUGGCGAACGGGUGAGUAAUGCAUCGGAACGUGCCCAGUCGUGGGGGAUAACGCAGCGAAAGCUGCGCUAAUACCGCAUACGAUCUAUGGAUGAAAGCGGGGGACCGUAAGGCCUCGCGCGAUUGGAGCGGCCGAUGUCAGAUUAGGUAGUUGGUGGGGUAAAGGCUCACCAAGCCAACGAUCUGUAGCUGGUCUGAGAGGACGACCGGCAACACUGGGACUGAGACACGGCCCAGACUCCGACGGGAGGCAGCAGUGGGGAAUUUUGGACAAUGGGCGCAAGCCUGAUCCAGCAAUGCCGUGUGCAGGAAGAAGGCCUUCGGGUCGUAAACUGCUUUUGUACGGAACGAAACGGUCCUGGUUAAUACCUGGGGCUAAUGACGGUACCGUAAGAAUAAGCACCGGCUAACUACGUGCCAGCAGCCGCCGUAACAC
rnacentral:rRNA from 1 species